GACGAACGCUGGCGGCGUGCUUAACACAUGCAAGUCGAACGGAAAGGCCCUGCUUGCAGGGUCCUCGAGUGGCGAACGGGUGAGUAACACGUGGGUGAUCUGCCCUGCACUUCGGGAUAAGCCUGGGAAACUGGGUCUAAUACCGGAUAGGAGCCAUUUUUAGUGUGAUGGUUGGAAAGUUUUUUCGGUGUAGGAUGAGCUCGCGGCCUAUCAGCUUGUUGGUGGGGUAAUGGCCUACCAAGGCGGCGACGGGUAGCCGGCCUGAGAGGGUGGACGGCCACAUUGGGACUGAGAGACGGCCCAGACGCCUACGGGAGGCAGCAGGGGGGAAUAUUGCACAAUGGGCGCAAGCCUGAUGCAGCGACGCCGCGUGUGGGAUGACGGCCUUCGGGUUGUAAACUCCUUUCGCUAGGGACGAAGCUUUUUGUGACGGUACCUAGAUAAGAAGCACCGGCUAACUACGUG
rnacentral:rRNA from 1 species